rnacentral:rRNA from 1 species
GUCUAAGGCCAUAUCACCCUGAGUGUGCCCAAUCUCAUCUGGUCUCAGAGCUAAGCAGGGUUGGGCCUGGUUAAUACUUGGAUAGAAGACAGAUCUUUAGAAAGAGACAAGCAGUUUAGAGA